rnacentral:rRNA from 1 species
UUUCGAAUCAUUCACAAUGGGGGCAACCCUGAUGGUGCGACGCCGCGUGGAGGAUGAAGGUCUUCGGAUUGUAAACUCCUGUCAAGGGGGACUAACCCUAUGGCUCAUACCCAUAGCUGCAUUAACCCCUAGAGGAAGCAGUGGCUAACUCUGUGCCAGCAGCCGCGGUAAUACAGAGACUGCAAGCGUUACUCGGAUUCACUGGGCGUAAAGGGAGCGCAGGCGGAAAGAUGUGUCGAUUGUGAAACCCCGGAGCUCAACUCCGGGACUGCGGUCGAAACUGUCUUUCUAGGGACUCGGAGGGGCUAGUGGAAUUCCUGGUGGAGCAGUGAAAUGCGUAGAUAUCAGGAGGAACACCAACGGCGAAGGCAGCUAGCUGGACGAGAUCCGACGCUCAGGCUCGAAAGUAUGGGGAGCAAAAAGGAUUAGAUACCCCCGUAGUCC